rnacentral:rRNA from 1 species
GCAAGUCGAACGAUGAAGGAGGAGCUUGCUCCUCUGGAUUAGUGGCGAACGGGUGAGUAACACGUGAGCAAUCUGCCCUUGACUCUGGGAUAAGCGCUGGAAACGGCGUCUAAUACCGGAUACGACCCUCGGAGGCAUCUCCUGUGGGUGGAAAGAACUUCGGUCAAGGAUGAGCUCGCGGCCUAUCAGCUUGUUGGUGAGGUAACGGCUCACCAAGGCGACGACGGGUAGCCGGCCUGAGAGGGUGACCGGCCACACUGGGACUGAGACACGGCCCAGACUCCUACGGGAGGCAGCAGUGGGGAAUAUUGCACAAUGGGCGCAAGCCUGAUGCAGCAACGCCGCGUGAGGGACGACGGCCUUCGGGUUGUAAACCUCUUUUAGCAGGGAAGAAGCGAGAGUGACGGUACCUGCAGAAAAAGCACCGGCUAACUACGUGCCAGCAGCCGCGGUAAUACGUAGGGUGCAAGCGUUGUCCGGAAUUAUUGGGCGUAAAGAGCUCGUAGGCGGUCUGUCGCGUCUGCUGUGAAAACCCGAGGCUCAACCUCGGGCUUGCAGUGGGUACGGGCAGACUAGAGUGCGGUAGGGGAGAUUGGAAUUCCUGGUGUAGCGGUGGAAUGCGCAGAUAUCAGGAGGAACACCGAUGGCGAAGGCAGAUCUCUGGGCCGUAACUGACGCUGAGGAGCGAAAGCGUGGGGAGCAAACAGGCUUAGAUACCCUGGUAGUCCACGCCGUAACGUUGGGAACUAGAUGUGGGGACCAUUCCACGGUCUCCGUGUCGUAGCUAACGCAUUAAGUUCCCCGCCUGGGG